rnacentral:rRNA from 1 species
UACGUAGGGGGCAAGCGUUGUCCGGAUUUAUUGGGCGUAAAGAGCGUGUAGGCGGCCAGACAGGUCCGUUGUGAAAACUCGAGGCUCAACCUCGAGACGCCGAUGGAAACCGUUUGGCUAGAGUCCGGAAGAGGAGAGUGGAAUUCCUGGUGUAGCGGUGAAAUGCGCAGAUAUCAGGAAGAACACCCGUGGCGAAGGCGGCUCUCUGGGACGGUACUGACGCUGAGACACGAAAGCGUGGGGAGCGAACAGG